rfam:Fomitiporia mediterranea MF3/22 unplaced genomic scaffold FOMMEscaffold_8, whole genome shotgun sequence.
GGCCGCCUGGCGAAAUGGUAUCGCGUCUGACUACGAUAGGUUGUAAACAAGUUGGUAAUCAGGAGAUUGCAGGUUCGAGCCCUGCGGUGGUCA